GAGUAAUGUCUGGGAAACUGCCUGAUGGAGGGGGAUAACUACUGGAAACGGUGGCUAAUACCGCAUAACGUCGCAAGACCAAAGAGGGGGACCUUCGGGCCUCUUGCCAUCAGAUGUGCCCAGAUGGGAUUAGCUUGUUGGUGAGGUAACGGCUCACCAAGGCGACGAUCCCUAGCUGGUCUGAGAGGAUGACCAGCCACACUGGAACUGAGACACGGUCCAGACUCCUACGGGAGGCAGCAGUGGGGAAUAUUGCACAAUGGGCGCAAGCCUGAUGCAGCCAUGCCGCGUGUAUGAAGAAGGCCUUCGGGUUGUAAAGUACUUUCAGCGGGGAGGAAGGUGUUGUGGUUAAUAACCGCAGCAAUUGACGUUACCCGCAGAAGAAGCACCGGCUAACUCCGUGCCAGCAGCCGCGGUAAUACGGAGGGUGCAAGCGUUAAUCGGAAUUACUGGGCGUAAAGCGCACGCAGGCGGUCUGUCAAGUCGGAUGUGAAAUCCCCGGGCUCAACCUGGGAACUGCAUUCGAAACUGGCAGGCUUGAGUCUUGUAGAGGGGGGUAGAAUUCCAGGUGUAGCGGUGAAAUGCGUAGAGAUCUGGAGGAAUACCGGUGGCGAAGGCGGCCCCCUGGACAAAGACUGACGCUCAGGUGCGAAAGCGUGGGGAGCA
rnacentral:rRNA from 2 species